ensembl:snRNA U6 U6 spliceosomal RNA
GUUCUUGCUUUGACUUCACCUGUGCUAAAAUAGAAACUAUACUGAGAAGAUUUGCAUGUCCUUGUAUGAUCAUGACACCCAAUUUGUGAAAUGUUCCAGAAUUGU